rnacentral:sRNA from 1 species
CAGGCGUCGGUGCUCAGCGGUGUUGGAACUUAGUGGCUUGCUUGCCUGUGCGCGCGUGCGCGGACAUGGCCUCAAACGAUUAUACCCAACAAGCAACCCAAAGCUAUGGGGCCUACCCCACCCAGCCCGGGCAGGGCUAUUCCCAGCAGAGCAGUCAGCCCUACGGACAGCAGAGUUACAGUGGUUAUAGCCAGUCCACGGACACUCCAGGCUAUGGCCAGAGCAGCUAUUCUUCUUAUGGCCAGAGCCAGAACACAGGCUAUGGAACUCAGUCAACUCCCCAGGGAUAUGGCUCGACUGGCGGCUAUGGCAGUAGCCAGAGCUCCCAAUCGUCUUACGGGCAGCAGUCCUCCUACCCUGGUUAUGGCCAGCAGCCAGCUCCCAGCAGCACCUCGGGAAGUUACGGUAGCAGUUCUCAGAGCAGCAGCUAUGGGCAGCCCCAGAGUGGGAGCUACAGCCAGCAGCCUAGCUAUGGUGGACAGCAGCAAAGCUAUGGACAGCAGCAAAGCUAUAAUCCCCCUCAGGGCUAUGGACAGCAGAACCAGUACAACAGCAGCAGUGGUGGCGGAGGUGGAGGUAACUAUGGCCAAGAUCAAUCCUCCAUGAGUAGUGGUGGUGGCAGUGGUGGCGGUUAUGGCAGUCAAGACCAGAGUGGUGGAGGUGGCAGCGGUGGCUACGGACAGCAGGACCGUGGAGGCCGCGGCAGGGGUGGCAGUGGUGGUGGCGGCGGCGGCGGCGGCGGCGGUGGUGGUUACAACCGCAGCAGUGGUGGCUAUGAACCCAGAGGUCGUGGAGGUGGCCGUGGAGGCAGAGGUGGCAUGGGGUAGGUGUCUCACGAGCCAGGGAGUAUCUUUGGUGGGGAGUGUGGAGGAUUGCAUGAAUCUCCCUGAAGCCAGUCCCUAGUGCAUGGUUUAGUAUUCUUGUUGUCUAGGGAUCUGUGAGGGCUUUGAUUUGGGGGCAGUGACUUUCUUUUUACAUCCCCAUUUUAUUUUUGUGAGAACUUGGGAUCCUGAACUCCCAUCCAUACCACUGAAUAGAGAUUUUGAGUAAUGAUACUUGUUUCCAAAAAAAAAAAAGAAACCAUACAUAGAUACGUAUGGAUUGGAGUCAUUAAUAUCCUAGGCAAGAAACAUGGAAGUGAAGACUUCUUUCUCUGCAAGGGAAACCGAUGAUCCCACUCCUGGGAAAUAGUAGGGAAACUUGGUAUGUGUAUUCCCAUGUGUCCUCUAGGGAGUUGGUAAUGGUUAACCUGACUUCAGCUUCCAGGAAUUGGCUACUCUUCCCGUUUUCUAUAGUCAUUUGAAUCCACGAGCUUGAUUUGCACUAAUUUGACCGACAUUGAUUUUGUGUGUGACUUGGUUUAUGGGGCCAGCUGACUGAAGUAAGCAGACCUUUUGGGCAAAAAUAUGCUUUGACAGUGGUCUCCCACCUAUUUGUUCCACUGUCUGCCUUCCCCUGGUUACUUAAAAUUCAUCAGCUUGUCCAACUGGACCUUCUUUCCUUCCUGCUGAAGUUGAUUUGAAGUAAAACCUUAGAUUUGAUGUUAAAACAGUUGUCAAAUCUGUUGGUAAAUAAGAUUUGAAGGACCCUACUCUGUCUCCCAUGAAAAAGGGGAGGAAUGUCAGUGUUACUGUUUUUGGAAAAAGUAGAUUUUUAAACCGAGUUUGGAAAUGGUAAGUAUGCAGAGGUGGGUGGGGGCAAUCUCAAAAACGUGCAAAAAUGAGGAAAACAAAAAUGAGGAAAUGUGUGCGUGUGUUUAAUGCAAAACUUUAAAAAGAAAAACAACUGUUAUGUGACUGUUAACUUGCUCUGCAUUUUAUGUGCCACAGGUAUGAAAGGUGACAUUGCAAAAUACUCCGCUCUUCUCGCAGUGUAGAAGGGGUGACCCCGGGGGUUGGGGGAGAUCAAAAACAGCUCAGUAGUUAGGACAGAGCUUAGCUAAGUUUGUCUUGCUUUAAGGGGAAGUUGCCUUUGGUUUUGACUUUUUAUGGAAUGGGGUUGGGUCUGCUUGCUGCUUUCAAAGCAAAAACCACAAAAAUGUGUUCAAGGCUACCCCAGCCUGGUGUGAAAUGUCUUCUGGGUAAAUUGGGGUAGGGUUUUUAAACCAACUACUUGGUUGUCAACCACUUGCGACAAGAGGAAAAAAAAACAUCUGCUCCAUCGGAAGAACGACCAAGGAAAAUGGGUUAUUUUUUUUCCAGAGGAAAUAGAUACGUAACCUUUUAAAGCAAAAUCUUUAUAAACUGUGUCUGAGAAAUUGCACACGUGUGUGUGACAUGCUCAAAGGUCAGACAAGGGGUGGUCAGGAAGGGAUGUAUUUUAGUAGCCACUUGUAUCUUUUUCCAAAAACACCUACCCGUGUUUGGGGAAUGUUAAACAAAAUCAAAAAACAACCUUUUGUAGCCGUUGGAAGCUUCAUGUCCUUUCUUCUAACUUGUCUUCUCCAGCGGAAGUGACCGUGGUGGCUUCAAUAAAUUUGGUGGUAAGUGAACAGAGUUUCCAAAAUUCCCAACUCCCAGCAAUGCUUUGUCUGAUUGUUCAUUUGCAGAUGUCUUAGCGUGUUAAUUUAAAUGUCAAAGGUUUUGAGGUGUCCAGAACCACCUCCAGAAAGGGGUAGGGUAGAAUGCCACCUGUUGCCUGGUGUGUGCUAACCUGGAGCAGGUAGGGGUAAGACUCAAUAGUCAUCUUUUACCAAAUGGGUUUGCCCCAGGUUAAUAAGAGGGGUCUAGUAGGCCUUGGACUGGGCUGUUGCCACACCUGGCACUUAGUGACCAUCAUCAUGAGAAACUGGAGAGUGCGUGCUGGAACACGUGGUGCCAUCUUGGCUUUAGGAUCCUUUUGAUCGUUGUGUCCAAGGCUUGUGUGUGUGUGAGUGUGUGGGAGACAACUCCGAAUGUUUAAUUCUGGAAGAGGGAUGUAACAUUGCCCUGAGGAUGGUGAAGUUGGUAUACAUUUAUAAAGUACGGAAUGGUGUCAAUGAAUGCAACUCUAUGUAUAUGGACUUAACUGAGAUGGGCAAAUAGAAACUAGCUCUGGGAAGGAACAUGUGCACUACUUCAAGAAAGAUUGGAAGCAUGUGUGGCUCAUGGGAAAUAACCAGGUCUUAAACAGCACAAACUGAAUUCAUGGACCAGGAAGGUCUUAAACAGCACAAACUGAAUUCAUGGAAAAAUGACAAAUUUGAGAAGUCUCCCAGUAAGCUGGAACUUUUCUGGUUUGGUUAACUAACAAAAGGUUUCUUGAUUUGUUUCAAGAUUUAAAGCCAAAGGCGUGGGUUCAUGACUUAGGUGUCAUUGCGUGUGGGUACAAUAUUUAUAUAUGGCGAAUUCAGAUAAACAUUGGUCAAAGAUGGUCUCUGGAAAAACAAAAUAGAGGCUGCAUUACGGAAAUAAGAUUUCUGGUCUGUUCCCUGGGACAUGCUUAAAAAAUACAAUAGCUAUUAUGUAUGGUUUUUAUUUUCAUGUGGUUUCGGGGAAACAACACGGUUUUAAGGAUGGUUUCUAAAGAUGAAAUUAAAAAUUGUUCCACAAGGGUUAAGUGUCUGGUGGUAAAGUUGGGAGAAACUGGAUGGAUGCACAUCGCAUGGCUGGUGGCGAGCCCAUCUCUCUUCUCUCGGGUGAGAGAACCGGGCCAAGCUGAGUUGGUUUGUUCACUUUAAUGGGUCUCCGUUUCCCCUGCCACCUGUGCUGAGGACAUUUCCCAGCCUGAGCUGGGGGAGGCAGCAUUUUCUGAAGUGUGGAGUUGUCUCUGUGGAGACUCAAGUUACAGAUCUUAAGGGGCCUGCCUAGAAUUUUCUCCUCUGGGCAGGCGACCCAGGAAAGGGUUUGGAGUGAGGCUGUGAGCACUUACUUGAUAUUUUACAAGUUUGGAUUUGGUGUUUUUUUCCUUGUCCGUUUUUUCCUGUUGACUAACGGCUCCUCUUUUCCUUGUUUUUGUUUUUUUUUUUGUUCUUUUUUUCCAUGUCACUAAAGGCCCUCGGGACCAAGGAUCACGUCAUGACUCCGAACAGGAUAAUUCAGACAACAACACCAUCUUUGUGCAAGGCCUGGGUGAGAAUGUUACAAUUGAGUCUGUGGCUGAUUACUUCAAGCAGAUUGGUAUUAUUAAGACAAACAAGAAAACGGGACAGCCCAUGAUUAAUUUGUACACAGACAGGGAAACUGGCAAGCUGAAGGGAGAGGCAACGGUCUCUUUUGAUGACCCACCUUCCGCUAAAGCAGCUAUUGACUGGUUUGAUGGUAAAGAAUUUUCCGGAAAUCCUAUCAAGGUCUCAUUUGCUACUCGCCGGGCAGACUUUAAUCGGGGUGGUGGCAAUGGUCGUGGAGGCCGAGGGCGAGGAGGACCCAUGGGCCGUGGAGGCUAUGGAGGUGGUGGCAGUGGUGGUGGUGGCCGAGGAGGAUUUCCCAGUGGAGGUGGUGGCGGUGGAGGACAGCAGCGAGCUGGUGACUGGAAGUGUCCUAAUCCCACCUGUGAGAAUAUGAACUUCUCUUGGAGGAAUGAAUGCAACCAGUGUAAGGCCCCUAAACCAGAUGGCCCAGGAGGGGGACCAGGUGGCUCUCACAUGGGGGGUAACUACGGGGAUGAUCGUCGUGGUGGCAGAGGAGGCUAUGAUCGAGGCGGCUACCGGGGCCGCGGCGGGGACCGUGGAGGCUUCCGAGGGGGCCGGGGUGGUGGGGACAGAGGUGGCUUUGGCCCUGGCAAGAUGGAUUCCAGGGGUGAGCACAGACAGGAUCGCAGGGAGAGGCCGUAUUAAUUAGCCUGGCUCCCCAGGUUCUGGAACAGCUUUUUGUCCUGUACCCAGUGUUACCCUCGUUAUUUUGUAACCUUCCAAUUCCUGAUCACCCAAGGGUUUUUUUUGUGUCGGACUAUGUAAUUGUAACUAUACCUCUGGUUCCCAUUAAAAGUGACCAUUUUAGUU